GGGUCACAUCACGUUGAAACACGGGUUAUUGUACGAACACCGAAGUUAAGCAACGUCGAGCCUGGUUAGUACCUAGAUGGGUGAUGGCUUGGGAAUACCAGGUGUUGUAAG